CUACGGGGCGCUCCAGUCGAGAAUCUUCCGCAAUGGGCGAAAGCCUGACGGAGCAAUGCCGCGUGCAGGAUGAAGGCCUUUGGGUCGUAAACUGCUGUCACAGGGGAUGAAUAAAUGACAGUACCCUGAGAGGAAGCCACGGCUAACUAUGUGCCAGCAGCCGCGGUAAUACGUAGGUGGCGAGCGUUGUUCGGAUUUAUUGGGCGUAAAGGGUUCGUAGGGGGUUAUCUAAGUUUGAUGUGAAAUCCCGGGGCUCAACCUCGGAACUGCAUUGAAAACUGGAAAACUAGAGUACCGGAGAGGAAAGCGGAAUUCCUGGAGUAGCGGUGGAAUGCGUAGAUAUCAGGAAGAACAUCGACAGCGAAGGCAGCUUUCUGGACGGCAACUGACCCUGAGGGACGAAAGCGUGGGUAGCGAACAGGAUUAGAUACCCCCGUAGUC
rnacentral:rRNA from 1 species